rnacentral:piRNA from 1 species
UAGUCCGGAUGACCCCCUGGUGUCUGA